GGGUUGUGAGGUUAAGCGACUAAGCGUACACGGUGGAUGCCCUGGCAGUCAGAGGCGAUGAAGGACGUGCUAAUCUGCGAUAAGCGUCGGUAAGGUGAUAUGAACCGUUAUAACCGGCGAUUUCCGAAUGGGGAAACCCAGUGUGAUUCGUCACACUAUCAUUAACUGAAUCCAUAGGUUAAUGAGGCGAACCGGGGGAACUGAAACAUCUAAGUACCCCGAGGAAAAGAAAUCAACCGAGAUUCCCCCAGUAGCGGCGAGCGAACGGGGAGCAGCCCAGAGCCUGAAUCAGUGUGUGUGUUAGUGGAAGCGUCUGGAAAGGCGCGCGAUACAGGGUGACAGCCCCGUACACAAAAAUGCACAUGCUGUGAGCUCGAUGAGUAGGGCGGGACACGUGGUAUCCUGUCUGAAUAUGGGGGGACCAUCCUCCAAGGCUAAAUACUCCUGACUGACCGAUAGUGAACCAGUACCGUGAGGGAAAGGCGAAAAGAACCCCGGCGAGGGGAGUGAAAAAGAACCUGAAACCGUGUACGUACAAGCAGUGGGAGCACGCUUAGGCGUGUGACUGCGUACCUUUUGUAUAAUGGGUCAGCGACUUAUAUUCUGUAGCAAGGUUAACCGAAUAGGGGAGCCGAAGGGAAACCGAGUCUUAACUGGGCGUUAAGUUGCAGGGUAUAGACCCGAAACCCGGUGAUCUAGCCAUGGGCAGGUUGAAGGUUGGGUAACACUAACUGGAGGACCGAACCGACUAAUGUUGAAAAAUUAGCGGAUGACUUGUGGCUGGGGGUGAAAGGCCAAUCAAACCGGGAGAUAGCUGGUUCUCCCCGAAAGCUAUUUAGGUAGCGCCUCGUGAAUUCAUCUCCGGGGGUAGAGCACUGUUUCGGCAAGGGGGUCAUCCCGACUUACCAACCCGAUGCAAACUGCGAAUACCGGAGAAUGUUAUCACGGGAGACACACGGCGGGUGCUAACGUCCGUCGUGAAGAGGGAAACAACCCAGACCGCCAGCUAAGGUCCCAAAGUCAUGGUUAAGUGGGAAACGAUGUGGGAAGGCCCAGACAGCCAGGAUGUUGGCUUAGAAGCAGCCAUCAUUUAAAGAAAGCGUAAUAGCUCACUGGUCGAGUCGGCCUGCGCGGAAGAUGUAACGGGGCUAAACCAUGCACCGAAGCUGCGGCAGCGACGCUUAUGCGUUGUUGGGUAGGGGAGCGUUCUGUAAGCCUGUGAAGGUGUACUGUGAGGUAUGCUGGAGGUAUCAGAAGUGCGAAUGCUGACAUAAGUAACGAUAAAGCGGGUGAAAAGCCCGCUCGCCGGAAGACCAAGGGUUCCUGUCCAACGUUAAUCGGGGCAGGGUGAGUCGACCCCUAAGGCGAGGCCGAAAGGCGUAGUCGAUGGGAAACAGGUUAAUAUUCCUGUACUUGGUGUUACUGCGAAGGGGGGACGGAGAAGGCUAUGUUGGCCGGGCGACGGUUGUCCCGGUUUAAGCGUGUAGGCUGGUUUUCCAGGCAAAUCCGGAAAAUCAAGGCUGAGGCGUGAUGACGAGGCACUACGGUGCUGAAGCAACAAAUGCCCUGCUUCCAGGAAAAGCCUCUAAGCAUCAGGUAACAUCAAAUCGUACCCCAAACCGACACAGGUGGUCAGGUAGAGAAUACCAAGGCGCUUGAGAGAACUCGGGUGAAGGAACUAGGCAAAAUGGUGCCGUAACUUCGGGAGAAGGCACGCUGAUAUGUAGGUGAAGUCCCUCGCGGAUGGAGCUGAAAUCAGUCGAAGAUACCAGCUGGCUGCAACUGUUUAUUAAAAACACAGCACUGUGCAAACACGAAAGUGGACGUAUACGGUGUGACGCCUGCCCGGUGCCGGAAGGUUAAUUGAUGGGGUUAGCGCAAGCGAAGCUCUUGAUCGAAGCCCCGGUAAACGGCGGCCGUAACUAUAACGGUCCUAAGGUAGCGAAAUUCCUUGUCGGGUAAGUUCCGACCUGCACGAAUGGCGUAAUGAUGGCCAGGCUGUCUCCACCCGAGACUCAGUGAAAUUGAACUCGCUGUGAAGAUGCAGUGUACCCGCGGCAAGACGGAAAGACCCCGUGAACCUUUACUAUAGCUUGACACUGAACAUUGAGCCUUGAUGUGUAGGAUAGGUGGGAGGCUUUGAAGUGUGGACGCCAGUCUGCAUGGAGCCGGCCUUGAAAUACCACCCUUUAAUGUUUGAUGUUCUAACGUUGACCCGUAAUCCGGGUUGCGGACAGUGUCUGGUGGGUAGUUUGACUGGGGCGGUCUCCUCCUAAAGAGUAACGGAGGAGCACGAAGGUUGGCUAAUCCUGGUCGGACAUCAGGAGGUUAGUGCAAUGGCAUAAGCCAGCUUGACUGCGAGCGUGACGGCGCGAGCAGGUGCGAAAGCAGGUCAUAGUGAUCCGGUGGUUCUGAAUGGAAGGGCCAUCGCUCAACGGAUAAAAGGUACUCCGGGGAUAACAGGCUGAUACCGCCCAAGAGUUCAUAUCGACGGCGGUGUUUGGCACCUCGAUGUCGGCUCAUCACAUCCUGGGGCUGAAGUAGGUCCCAAGGGUAUGGCUGUUCGCCAUUUAAAGUGGUACGCGAGCUGGGUUUAGAACGUCGUGAGACAGUUCGGUCCCUAUCUGCCGUGGGCGCUGGAGAACUGAGGGGGGCUGCUCCUAGUACGAGAGGACCGGAGUGGACGCAUCACUGGUGUUCGGGUUGUCAUGCCAAUGGCACUGCCCGGUAGCUAAAUGCGGAAGAGAUAAGUGCUGAAAGCAUCUAAGCACGAAACUUGCCCCGAGAUGAGUUCUCCCUGACUCCUUGAGAGUCCUGAAGGAACGUUGAAGACGACGACGUUGAUAGGCCGGGUGUGUAAGCGCAGCGAUGCGUUGAGCUAACCGGUACUAAUGAACCGUGAGGCUUAACCUUACAACGCCGAAGGUGUUU
rnacentral:rRNA from 1 species